CGGGGAGUAGUUCAUCGGUAGAACGCUCGGUUUGGGACCGAGAAGCGGGAGGUUCAAUUCCUCUCUCCCCGACCA
rnacentral:tRNA from 1 species